AUGCAUCCACUGAUAGACCCGAAGCAAGUUGCAUUGGUUUCUGGGUUUGCAAAGAGAUGCAAAACUAAACUUUCCUCUCGCUUUCUGACUGCUACUCUAACUUGGCAGCACAGUUUGAAUUGGGGAAUACAUAU